rnacentral:lncRNA from 1 species
CAAGCUAAGUAUGUCUCGUUAAAAGCAGGAACUCAGACUGUGACGACUAUUUUCACUAGUUUCAAAGGCUUGAUUGACCCUUGGGAUUGAAUCUGGCUAGGGGGUGCCCUCGUAAAGACUAAAACCUCGUUACGCCGAAAAUAGUAGAGGUGCGACAGCGCUUUGGUAGUGAGUGGAAACUUACUUUCUGUCUCUGAGAAGUUGAACUUUGCACGUAAAUUUUCUUUUAUUUACCGUACCUAUUUUUGAGAAUUUUGAUUCUUUUUCUAACUUCUUCUCUUUUUGGUUUUUUUAGCAACCAUGGGAGAUGUGGAACCUAUUCUCAACUUUCGUGGUUGGGUAGACUCAAUUUUAAAGAUUGCUCCUAAGGAACAGAGAACUUGAAAAUCAAUUUCCCUUUUACAUGGCUGGAAAGUGAAAACCCACGGUAUACACUUUUUACACAUUUUUUCACAUGUUAAACCCCUUUUCCUUAAUGUUGAUUGUGUAUCCUUCUUUUUAUCAGGAUUUGGCGUUAAAGGAAUGGCAGCUGAGGUAGCUAUGGCUAUUUGCAUGUCUGCUAAUGCUUCACUUGAUUUGGAUACGGCUCGAGCUUUGCUUCCAAAAAGAAAAGCUGUAGGAGACUAUGGAUAUUCUCAUGUCUGCUAAUGCUUCACUUGAUUUGGAUAAGGCUCGAGCCUUGCUUCCAAAAUGAAAAGCUGUAGGAGAAGGUUCUGAGAAUGAGGAAGAAGAAUGUAACUCUUUGAUAACCAGGCCAAGAGCAGGUGCUGAGUCAUUACUGCUGAUGAAAUUGAAGAUUCUCCUACUCAAACCUUUACCAUCGAGCUUGUUUUGGUUCCUUCUGAUGAGUACACCGUACCAAGAGACACCAAUGAAUCAACUCAAUGUCUCUUUGAUAGUGGUUUUGAGAGUGGCGAACUCAGCCAUGUUUUGGAUGAAACCCCUCUCUCUUCAUUCGUUCCUAUUUCCUCUAUUCCUUUGCCAAUCGUGAGUGUUUCCUUUGCAAGCGUUGACUACGUCGGUUCCUUUAUUAGUUUUAACUACUCCUACUUCUGUACCUGUGUUGGUUUCUACAUUUUCUCCUACCAUUCUUGCUUCGACUCGUACGUCUCCCGCUGUGUUUACCUUUUCUACUACUCCUCGUUCCACUGUUCCCUCUUCCUCUGUUCAGCCUUCAGAGAUAAGUUCCAGUAAUAGAGGCAUGGCUAUGUGGAGUGUAACACUUGAAGUUCCUGCCAAUCAGAGCCUCUUGAGAAAGUCUGGUGGGGCUGAUACUUGGCUCGAACCUCUGACUGGAGAGAUUGAGAAGAAUAAGAUGCAAAGCCAUAACUGUUAUACUCUAAUGAACGACAUAGUUCAUUCAACUUUAAAGGUAAUUUUCUUUAACUUGAAUAUUUUCCUUCUUUUUCCUUCAAAGUCCUUAUUUAUAUUCCUUAUAAUCGUAGGCUAAUCUUAUUGGAACUGAGUUGAUGGGGAGAGUCUCUUCUUUAGAGAAGGCUUUUUUUCCUUCUAAGUCCUUAUUUUUAUGCCUUAUAAUCGUAGGCUAAUCUUAUUGGAACUGAGUUGAUGGGGAGAGUCUCUUCUUUAGAAAAGAAGGAGCGAGAGUCUUCAAAGACUAUUUCUAAGGCUAGGAGAAUAGUCGAGGAUGCUUUGCUUGAGGCAACAAAUUGGAAAGAGCAAUUUGAGAAUACCCAAGGGAUCAUAGAGUAGUUUCAAGAAAGUAAAGCUCACCUGGAGCAACAAAAGUGUGGUUUAUCUUCUGAGCUAGCAAUUACCAAUGCUUCUUUGGGCCAACUUAGAAAGGACAAGGAGGUUUUGGAGUGCUCACUAUCAAAAGCCUAUAAAGAAAUCAGGGAGCUUAAAUCACUUAUGGAGAAGAAAGAAGAAUAUGCCGGGGAGUUAGCUCAAAGCUUGACUCAAGCUCAAAAUGACUUAAGGAUCUCCUCUGACAAAAUUCGUGCCUUGGAAAGUUCUCAUGCCUCUCUCGAAGCUUCCCUGGAUUCUCACUUAGCUGAAUAUUAGGUAACAAAAAAUGAUCUUGAUAUGUGGGAAAGGGAAUAUGAAGCUAUGGAGAAGGAAUAUAGUGUUCUUGAAGAGAAUUUCAACAUAGAGGUAAGUUGGGAUUUUCUAAAUUCUCGCCGUGAUGAUUUGAUGGAGGCUACACAAGAAAACUUCGACUUGAAGUAUGAAUUAGACAAAGUCUUAGACACUAUCGAAAAAAGUCAACAACCUGCUGAUGCUCCUUCUCCUGUAUUGGGAACUAUUGAUACUCCUUCUCCAGCACUUGAAGCUUCUGGAACAGAAGAGUUGUUGAAUUCCGAAGCAGCUAUUGAGGUAGUUGAAGUUGCCAUUCCAGCUUCCGAGGGUGAAUCUUCUGUGACACAGUCUAUGGGAAUUGAAUUUCCCGUGACUCUUGCUUCCCUUGAUGAUGUUAUCACUUCAAGCUCAAUUGACACUGCUCUUAUUGCUGCUCCUUCUGAAGUUUUUACCAUGCCUGUUAUUGCCUCUGAAAGUGAGAUUACAACUUAUGACGUUCCAACUCCUUCAGUGACAAGUUGAAUGUGUUUUGAUUAAGUUUUUAUUAUUUUUAGUGAUUGGUGGUGUCAUCCCUUGUCAAUUUUUAAGGGAUCUUUUGAUGAAGUCCCAGUUACCAUAAUGGGGCAUUUGUAAAACAAGUAUUUUGAUGACUAAGUUUUUCCUUAGUCUUUUAUAUUAAAAAGUUUUAUGUGUACUUCUAUAUAUUCUGUUCUUGCCUAUUUACUUAUUUAGGACUUAUAGAAUAAGCUUAGCAUUUUUAUCCUUUGAAAAUGCUUUAUGGUUCUUCUCAUGGAAUAUCAUCAUGAGGUUUAUAAAAGAGGGCCCUUUUAUUUUAUAGACACUUAAUGAUGAAGACGUCUCAACUUUAUAAUGGUGUUAUAAUACGAUGAAAGAAAUAGGAAUACACAUGUUUGUGCACCUUUGUAGAGGGUGGUCGAAGGAAGGGAUUCUCCGGCUCGUGUUGAGAUGAAAACCGGUAGGUCCAUACGCUGUAUUGUGAUCCCCAAUGGCUAUAACCUUUUGUAGAAUUGCGAGGAUGCCGACGCAUACAUGACCCUUCUCUGUGCGGGCGCCGAGGGUGAAGCACUGGCAGAAAUUAGUGACAGGGGCCUGUCUAGAAGGGUAGCGGGUAUUUCCUUGCAGGUAACUUUGGCUCUCGUCCUUGGAAGUCUUAGGGGCGAUUUGCUUGUACACUAACUCUCCCUAUGCUAUUUUUCAGGUUGUCGUUUUGGAGGUGGAGAGGGGGCGAUGCCUGGCAAAGAGGGUGGAUGCCCAUAAGAAGAUAUGGCAGAGGUACAAGCGGGUCCGCAAUGCGCACCAAAUGUUGGCUGACAUAUACAAGCAUGACCCCGAGUUCAGGCUAUUCCGCGAGGGUCUUACCAAGUCGUAGGAGUAGCUGAAGAAGCAGUUGGCCGAAUUGGAGAGGGCGGACGAGCAGCUUGUAGCCGUGGUCGCCCGGAACACUUAGUUGGAGUCUCUCCUUCGAGCGAAGGAUGAUGAGUUAGAGCUUGGUCGUGCUAUAGCGGCGGAGGCUGCUGAGCUUUGAGCCCGGGUUGCGGCCUUGACCGCUGAGCUCAAAGCCAAUGAGGAAGAGAUUGAGGCGCUUGCUCGGGCCGCUUCACAGGAAGAUGAGCACCGGGAUGCUCAUGAUAUGUGGGUGUACCAUGAUGCCCGGCUAGUCGUGCUUGAAAAAUUAUUAACAGUUAGCCUAGUGUCCGAGGAGGACGUGGAUAGGUAGCGGAGUCUGACCCAGGUUUCUCGUGAGGUGGCCAGUUAUCUUUCUGAUUCGCCCCCCAAGGAAGGGUAUAACUCAGAAGAUCUUAACUGCCUGGCGUCUGCUUCUUGGAUUUCUAAGGACUACCCGCCAGGAGGCGCUGAGGGUCCGAGUGCUUUGUGCCGGCCAGGGUGAUGGGGGUUCCUAGGGUUCUCAUUUGUACUCUUAUAUUAUUGUUCAGUUACUUGCUUUUGAGAUGCCAUCCUUAUUAAUGCAGCUUCUCUUCUUCCUUCGAGCAAAUCAAGAUUCACCCGCAACUCUUCAUUGUUUGAGUCUUCCGUUGCUUGAAUGUACCGUAUGCUUGGUUCCCCUAUUUCAACUGGUAUUAAGGCCUCCGCUCCAUAAACCAUUGAAAAUGGCGUUUCUCCUGUGCUUGUUUUCGCUGUUGUUCGAUACGCAUAUAAUACCGCAGGUAAUACCUCAGGCCAAUUACCUUUUGAAUCUUGUAACCUUUCUUUCAUAUUAUUGAUUAUGACCUUGUUUGUGGAUUUCACUUGUCCAUUGCCUAUCGGAUUGUACGAUGUUGAUGUUAUCCUUAUAAUCUUCCAACUUUGAAAGAGUUCUGUGAUUUAUUAUCCUAUGAAUUGCGGACCAUUAUCACAUACAAUUUUCUUUGGUAUCCCAAAGCGGCAUAUUAUGUUUCUCCAAAUGAAAUCUUUGAAUUCUUUCUCUCGCACCUAUUUGAAUGCCCCUGCUUCUACCCAUUUAGUGAAAUAAUCAGUAAGUACAAGUAGAAACUUCACUUGACCUUUUGCUUGUGGUAAUGGACCUAUGAUGUCCAUUCCCCAUUUCAUGAAGGGCCACAGAGUUAUAACAUGGUGUAAUAAUUCGGCUGGUCUAUGCAUAUUGUUGCCGUAUCUUUGACAUUUAUCACACUUAGACACGAAAUCAUUUGCUUCUUCUUCCAUCUUAGGCCAAUAGUAUCCUACUCGAAUUAAUGACUUUACUACUGACCUGCCUCCUGCAUGAUUUCCACAAUGUCCUUCAUGUAUUGCUCUUUCCAUCUUAGGCCAAUAGUAUCCUUCUCGAAUCAACGUUUUUACUAGUGACCUACCUCCUGCAUGAUUUCCACAAUGUCCCUCAUGUAUUUCUCUAAUUACGUACUCUAUUUGGGAAGGUCCGAGACACCUUGCUAAUGGUCCACCAAACAUCUUUCGGUAAAGGUUUCCUUGAUGCAAACAAUAACGAGCAGCUUUUUUACGAAGUGCAUGAGCCUUUGUUUUAUUGUUAGGAACGGUUCCAUGCUGCAAAAAAGCAACUAUUUAAUUUCUCCAAUCCCAUGUCAAAUGAUUAAAAUUUACCUCAUUCUUGUCAUAUUCGAGAACUGAAUGAAAUAAAUGUAUGAUUGAAGCAUUUGAAUCAUUUGCUAUGUCUGCCGCAGAUGCAAGAUUAGCUAAAGCAUCCGCCUCCGCAUUCUCAUCUCUUGGGAUUUGCAUUACCUUCCAAGUUUGAAACUGCUUUAUCAGUUCCUGUACCUUUCGAGAUAUUAUUGCGUUCACGUUUCCCUAGCUGUAUAAGUCCCCAUCAUUUGAUUGACCACAUACCUUUUCAAGAUAUUCUUGCAUUCAUGUUUCCCUGGCUAUAUAAGUCCCUAGCAUUUGAUUGACUACGAGCUGAGAAUCACUCUUGAUUAUGAUUUGUGUUAUACCAAGUUCUUGUGCCACUUCUAAACCUGCAAUUACAGCCUCAUACUCUGCUUCAUUGUUAGUUAUUGGGUGACAUUUUAUCUUGUCUAAUGGUUUCACCCGUAGGUGGUAUAAGAACAAUUCCUAGACCCUCUCCUUUACAUUAGAUGAACCAUCGGUAAAUAAAAUCCAAGUCCCCGGGUUUGCACCGUUAAAAACUUGUAAUUCCUUUUCUGCUUCUAAAUUCAUCCCUUGACUAAAAUCUGCUACGAAAUCGGUGAGAACUUGGGAUCUUAUAGCAGUCCUAGGCUGACAAAUGAUUUCAUAUUCACUUAGUUCUAUAGCCUAUUUUGCUACUCUUCCUGACUGUCACGACCCGGAUUUUCCCACCAUCGGGAGUCGUGAACUGUCGAAGCUAGGCAAGCCAACCUUUAUGAUCAUUUCCACAAAUCUUAUAUUUAAAACAAGUUAAAUACUAACAUAAUUAAUUAAAACAUGCAGAAGUCUCUCAACAUCAAUAGCGUAAACAAAAUACGGAAAUUAACAACAUGCCUCUACCCAGUAUCUGGUGUCACUACUCACGGACGACUAAAGAGUACUAAAAGCAACGGUCUGAAAGGAAUACAUAACAUGUUUGUUUGAUACAAUAAAACAAACUGGAAAAGAUAAAGGAGAAAUCCGGCCCCGCGAACGCCAGCGAACUACCUCAGAGUCUAUGGACUGAAGGAUCACUCCCCAACUAUGGUUGCGGUCCGUAAGCUGUGUCGUGACCUGUGCACAAAAAGGCACAGAAGCGUAGUAUCAGCACAACCGACCCCAUGUGCUGGUAAGUGCCCGGGCUAACCCUGGCGAGGUAGUGACGAGGCUAAACCGGACCUACCACAACCAACCUGUACAGAUGUAUGUGCAAUAAUAGAAGAAUAACAAAAAUCUAAACAGAUAAUGGGGAGGGGACAUGCUGGGAGUAUAGCAGUUUAGUUAUCUAAUCAUCAACAACAAAGAUACGGAAACUGUAUAACGAACACCAAUAAGAGAAAACUAGUAAAACAAAUGUUGCACGGCACCACCCAUCAUGCUUUUACUCUCGUCCUCACCAAGAUAAUCCAUGACAGUGUACGGCAUCACCCAUCGUACUUUAUCACUCAUCCUCACCCAAUCAAUAACAUAGAGCAGUUACACGGCAUCACCUAUCGUGCUUUAUCACUCUUUCUCAUCCAAUCCAUUGUAUGGAGUAGAUCAAUGGUUGCAUGACAUCACCCAUCGUGCAUUAAUCAAUGGUUACACAGCAUCACCCAUUGUGCUUUAUCACUCUUCCUCACCCAUUCAAUAGCAAAAAGUGGUUAAACGACAUCAGCCAUCGUGCUUUAUCGCUCAUCCUCACCCAAACAAUAUUCACAAAUAAUAGGGAGAAGGUAUAAAUGAAACUGUAAUAGUAAUAACCCUGACAAGGGGGAAUACAACUCAAAAAUGAGUCUCGGCAAGGGAAAACAACUCAAUAAUGCAUCCCGGCAAGGGAAAACAGCUCAACAAUACGUUCCGACAAGGGAGAAAAAGUACCAAAAUUUUCUUCUUUAGUUCAUUUGCUUCUCAACUAUCACUUUAUAGUUCAUUUAACAAGUAAUUAUCACANNNNNNNNNNNNNNNNNNNNNNNNNNNNNNNNNNNNNNNNNNNNNNNNNNNNNNNNNNNNNNNNNNNNNNNNNNNNNNNNNNNNNNNNNNNNNNNNNNNNNNNNNNNNNNNNNNNNNNNNNNNNNUAGGUAAUCGUCACCAUACCUAUACACCGACUCCACAUAGCACAUAACAAAUAUUAUCCUAAUCCUAUUCCCUCAAGCCAAAGUUAGAUCAAUCACUUACCUCGAAAGCUUUCAAACACAACUCACGCCUCUAGAAUAACUUUACUCCUCGAAUUCGCCUAGAAUAGCUUUACUCCUCAAAUUCGCCUCAAAAUCGGUCGAAUCUAACCACAAUUUACUCAUACAUAUCGACAAAUGAUAGUUAAAUCAAUUUGAAUGCCUAAGAAUAAAAUUCCCAAAGUUUUACCCAAAAAUUCCCAAAAUUCCCCUGGCCCACGUGGUCAAAACUCGAGGUUUGAACCAAAACUGGGUUACCCAUUCCCCCACGAGUUCAUAGAUGCAAUUUGUUUUGAAAUCGGACCCCAAAUUGAGGUCCAAAUCCCCAAUUUUAUGAAAACCUACGUUCUACCCCAAAUCCCAAAUUCUUAUUUUUGAAAAUCUUUGUCUGGAGUUGAAAUUAUGUUAAAAGAUGUUAAAUAGUAGAAAAAUUAAGUUGUGAGAACCUAUGUUCUACCCAAAAUCCCCAUUUUUACCCAUUGAAAGCUUUGAUUUAAAGUUGAAAUCAUGAUAAAAGAUGAUAAAGUUUGAAGAAAUUGAGUAAAAGUCGACUUACAAGUGGUUCAGGAGAGAAAGAGUCGAGAGAAAAUCGCCAAUGGAGUUUUGGGUUUUGAAAAUAUGAUAUAUUAAUUUUAAAAUCGGUUAAGUAUAAGUUGCACAAGUGUAGAUGUCGCAAUUGCGAGAUUGACUUCGCAAUUGCGAACUGAGCAGAAAAGGGCAGAACUUGCAUUUGCCAAAAAAUGUUCGCAUUUGCGAACCCAAGGCUUAGGCAGGGAAUUCGUAUUUGCGAGACUGGCUUCGUAGUUGCGAAGCUGGAUGCAAGGGGAGAUCGCAUUUGCGAGAAGUAGUUUGCAUUUGCGAAGUCUAGCCAAACAGAAGGGGAUCACAAUUGCGAGAUUUUCCUCGCAAUUGCGAAGAAAUAGGCUAAAUGGGGAAACUCGCAUUUGCGAAGAUUGUUUCGCAAAUGCGAAGACUACACAUACCAGCAGUUAAAAUUUUUUCAAAUGAGCCUAAAACCUAUCCGAAACUCACCCGAGCCUUCGGGGAUCCAAUUUAAACAUGCACCCUACCUCAAAAACAUCAUACGGACUUACUCGUGCGAUCAAAUUGCCAAAAUAACAUCAAAAUCAAAGAAUCACCCUCCAAAACUCAUGAUUUUCAUUUCUAAGUUCAAAACUUUCAAACUUUUGCACUUUUAGUCUGAAACACGUCAAACGACGUCCAUUUUUAACAAAACUUUACAGAUAGCGGUUAACGCUCAUUUCAGACUUGUACCGGGUGUCGAAUCCAAAAUGCGAGCCCGAUACCAUCACUUUUGAUUAAAUUUUCAUUUUUAUUUUUCUAGCAUUUUCAAAAAAUAAUUUCACAGAAAAGCUCCGUACUCAGGCCUGGGACCUAGGAUUUUGAUUCCAGAAUACACCGGACCCUCCGCGAUUAUCACAUCACGGGCUCGGGUCCGUUUACCCAAAACAUUAACCAAAGUCAACUAUAGCAAUAUUAUUAUCAAAAUUCGUAGUUGUUACACAGAAUUCAACUAUUUUCGCAUAAAAAUGUUCUGGCUUCGCGCCAGGACUACGCACGCAAAUUGAGGCAACCAAAUUAGGAGGUUUUCAAGGCCUCAUAAGCGCAAAGAAAGGGAGAAUUACAGUGAUGAACCUUUGGGUCGUCACAUCCUCCACCUAAUAAACAACCGUUUGUCCUCGAACGGACAAAAGAAGGAAGUACCUGAGUCAGGGAAUAGAUGGGGAUAACGACUUCGCAUAUCAGACUCGGACUCCCAAGUCGAUGCCUCAGGAGGCUGACCUAUCCACUGGACACGGACUGAAGGAAAACUCCGCGACCUCAACUAUCAAACCUUCCAGUCUAAAAUAGCCACCGGCUCCUCCUCAUAUGACAGAUCCUCGUCCAAUUGGACAGUACUGAAAUCUAACAUGUGGGUGGGAUCACCGUGAUACUUACUCAUAUGAUAGAUCCUUGUCCAAUUGGACAGUACUGAAAUCUAACACGUGGCUGGGAUCAUCGAAAUACUUCCGAAGCAUGGAUACAUGAAAAAUUGGAUGCAGGGCUGACAAGCUAGGCGUCAAUGCAAGUCUAUAAGCUACAUUCCCCACACGGUCCAGAAUCUCAAAUGGGCCAAUAUACCUAGGGCUAAGCUUGCCCUUCUUCCCGAACCUCAUCACUGUUGAUACCCAAUUUUUUCCUAUGUAUUUUUGUACCCAAAAUACUUUCAAAAUAGCUUGUGAAUGCAUAUAUAAUCACCCAUAAAAGGUUCAGUAUUUCUCUAUAAUUUGUCAAGCAUUUUAAGAUUAUUUUACAACUUGUUUUGUACUGUAAAAUCCAGUAUUUGGUAUCAAAUCCUGUUAUUUUAAUAAAUAAAUUAUUUUUACUCUCUCAUUCGCAUAGAAACAUAAUUUACAUAAUUUUUACAGGAUAUUAUAAAGCCAUUAAGUAUUUCAAAAUUUUAAUUGUAUUAAAUUGCAAUUUUAGCCCAUUUCUCAAAUUAAUAAGUAUUUCAAGUGCAAAAUUGUUCCUGAUAUUUUAAUUAAUUCCUAAACGUGUUUUGUUAUUUCACUAAUUUUAUUGGAUUUUUAUAAGGCUUUUAUAAAAUUAAAUGGGGAAAAAUGACUAUUUAAAUUAUAGCCCCUUUCUGUUUCAAAUUUAGCCAAAAAUCAACCCCAAUUAACCCCAAUUAUAUUAUCCAGUUUCCCAAUCCACUCGACCAAAACCCGUUCAAAUUAACUUGACCCAUUUCCCCUUUUAAUCAUGGCCGUUGAUCACUCAGAUCAACGACCCACGUUUUAACCUACCAAAUUAAACCCCCCAAACCCUUAACCCUAUCCUCACUUUUACCAAUCCGCCGUUUUUCACUGCCAAAUGCUCUCUAGGUUCUCUAAGAACCCUAGUCUUCUCUGGUCCUCUUCACCGGCGUUAAUGGCUAUUCAGGGCCUGAAACUCCCAUGCUCGUCCAUUCAUCACCUUUUCUGGCCUUUGGGUUCGAUGAUCGGGACUUUGAUUCAAAUGUGACUGGACCAGAGGUCCUUCAAUGAAGUUUCAGGACUGUGUCAGGCCUUUCUCCGACAAAUCUUUGAAGCCUUGGGUCCUUGCCAAGCUCGAUGAGUCCGUUCAGGCUUUUCUUGCCAUUUCUAGGCCUCCUUUGAAACCCUAAUGAUUCGAGGUUCUUUUUCAUUUUUUUUCUGUGUUAUAUUACGUUCUUCUUUGAGUACUAGUUGUUUUCUAAUAUUUUUAAAGUGUUUCUCAUCUCUUUCUUCACCUAGUCGUGAUUUCAAAAACUGUUCGUCUUUUUAAAACCUAGGGUUUUCUAUGACUUAUCUGAUUUCUGUAAUUUUGUAGUUUAUUCUUGCUACUGGGUGUUCUUCUGCAUUAUUUUGACAUUUUCUAUUAUCGCUUUAAAAUGCUUUACCUCAUUGAUUACCUUACUAGGGGUUGCAAUUAAUUGUUCUAUAUUUUCUUUAUAGUGUUCUGCUCUUGUUCGUCUUCGUCUAUGAUAUUCCUUGUAUUCUGACUUGUAGUCGAAACCCUAAUUUCUAAGGGUAUAUUCCAUUCCUUUUUCUCUGUGAAACCUUGGCCGGCUCUAUUUGCUUCUUGUGUUUGCUACAUGUCUACUCUACUAUUUGUCAGUCUCUCGUAUGUUCAAAACUUACGCAUCUUUUAUAGUACUGCUUUUCCACAUUCCCUAAGACCCUAAAUUUAUUUUUGUACAACUCUUUGAUUCUCUAAUUGCUCCUUGUUUCUUGACUAAUUUCCUUUCCCUGAAACCCUAAAUUGAUUUUUUGUACAAAUAUUUGAUUCUCUAAUUGCUCCUUGUUUCUUGACUAAUUUCAAACGAUUUAUAUCUUGACUACUUGAUUUCCUGGGUGAUUACUUCCCUUAUAUGCCCUACCCAUGUGAUUUUCAAAUUUCUUAUAUGUAUUUGCCCUAUAUUAUGUGAUUAAUACUAUAUUUUCUUUCCAAAAUUAGACCUGGGCUUAUUCAUUUUUCCAUCCGAUUUCUUAAUUGAAGCGGUUCCCUUCUCCUAAUUGAUACUGAUUGAUUUUCUGAAUAUUUCCUUGCCUUACUGUUGCUUCUCUUUCAACUAUAAAUAGGCCCUCUCUUUUCUCACUUAGCACAACUCAUACUCGAGUGCUCUCUACUCUUACGCAUUAAAAACUCUCUUCUGCCUUCUCUUUUCUCACUUAACAGACAACUGAUAAUCGAGUUCUCUUUACUCUUACUCACUAAAGACUCUCUGCUUUCUCUUCUCUUCUCUGUUACUUGCUCUCUUGCUAAGGAUUAGCCGGCUGAAUGCCAAGGCUAAUUAUAUGGAUUUUCUUUGUUUGGUUACUCAAGUUUGCACUGAUUGGCUCCUAACUUCAUUUAUUAACUUUCAAGUAUCUGUUUGUUCUCUCCUCUUCUUUGUCUGUUACGUUAUUUCAAUUAAGCUUGCAUGAUCAAUCCCUUCCCCUUGUCCCUUUGUCUGUCUGCUUGUUUCAGUAAUUUAUUUAAGUGUUAGCAUGUUCAAUUCCUCCCCCCUCCCCUUAGUUUGUCAUGAUACCUCACAUAUUUUGUGUACUUCAGUUUAGUUUCAUGAUAAUCCCCUUCCCCUUGUCCCCUUGUCUGUUGGUGCUCAGGAUAAUCCUGAACCCUGACCCUUAUCUGCUUAUAGCUUUAGUUCAAACUACAAUAUGUUAAUCCCUAAUUCCCUUUCCCUUUGAGUGUUUACAUUCAAUGUUUUAUUAUGUCCAGUGUGUUAAAUAGUUUCCUUUGAUUGUGCACAGUUCAUUAUUAUGCUUCAAUCUAGCUUGACUGCGAAGUGCUUUUAUAUGAUUCCCCUCUCCCUUUUCCCCCUUGUUUGUAUGUGAGUUGUUCUGGACAAGGGUGGCACCUUAUUGCUACUUCUAGUCUAGAACUAAGGUUGUCAAUAGCCUUUACUCAAAUCGAUCUCAUUCCCCAUCCCCUAUCUUAUGUGUUUGAGCCUUGACAAAGGCCUGUUGGUGUCCUAAUCACCACUUAGACCCUUGUCAGACUUGUUUACAAGUAUGAUCUAGUUUGUUAACCCUUGUAAGAAGUCUGGGGUGUGCCGGUGUCACUCAAUAGGCUGGGUAUGACCACUUCUUACGAUGGUCUUCCUCUAAUCUAUCACCUUAUAUUUAUUCUUAGUUCUUUAAGUUCCUACCCCCCUCGGGUAAGCCAUGCUUAGGGACCUUGGAGUCUCCUCUGAACUCGGAUGCCUUAGGAUUGGUAAUUCCACACUUGCACUAUUUCAAUUGGAAUGUAAGCAAUGCCUAGGUUCCCUUGGAGCUUUGUAACACUCUAAAAAGAGAAAAGCCUCGGAACUUGGGAGCUCGGAUUUGGUAACAGGCAUAUUGUUGGACAUUAAAGUUUCUUCGAGAUUCCUCGGGGCUGUUAUAGCUGUUGAUGUAUUUUAACUUUUUAUCUCUUUAAUGUUCUUUACUUUUUUGCUAAACUUUGUAAUAAUUUGUAAUAUAAAAACUCGGGGGUAUAGUGAAAGGGACAUGGUGGGAUUUACCUUCUCACAUGCAUUAGAGAUCACGCCUACAAGUUUGCAUUUUUAGAUAUCAUGUCAAUAGCUUUCUCACUAUUGUAUCAAUAUCAUAUAAAUAUCAUGACUGUAGGCUUAUUCAUCUUUGCAUCGGUAGAAAACAUGUCUUAGGACCUUUGUUUUAUCUAUGUAUAUUGUUAUCAUGCCUAUUUUAUACCGCCGCAUCAACACCAUGUAGAUACCAUGUCUACAGGUUCUCUUGAUAUUGCAUUGACUUCAUAUAGAAACCAUGCUACUAGGUUUGCAUCUUAUAAUCUCACCUAGAAAGCAUGCCUAUAGGAGCUAUAUAAACGCUAGGAAAAACAAUAGGACGUCUAAUUAUAUGAGAGCAGCAAUUAAAGGGUAAUAAAACAAGUUAUAAGCUCAGAUCUGUUAAUGCUUUCAACAUUUCAGUAACUCAACUUGUCCCCAAAUCUGUUUAUUUUCAAAAUGGGCCCAAGUGUUCCCCUUUUGUAAUCUGUAAAAUAUUUCUAUUUUUGCCAACCUGUGAUUGUCGGUUUGUCUAAAUUCUAUUCUUUCAAGAUUUUAAGGUCUUUAAACUCCUCUUCCCGCCGUUGCUUUAUACUCAACUCAUGCGGCCAACCUGUAGGCCUUUUGGAACUUGUUUGCAAUCUUAUAUCUUUCUAAACAGACCCUUUGUCUGAAGCUAACGUUUUCUAAAGGUUCUGCUAGUUUUCUAAGGAGUCCUAUCAACUUCUAAAACGGGCCCGGGGAGCUCAAAGCAGAUUUUCUAUCCAACUUUUGUGUGUUAAACUAGUCUACCCGCUCUCCUAACCUCUUCUAAAGACCAAAUCAGUAAUUGAAGUCAUGCUAAACUACAUGCUGUAUGUCACGGGGUUUAUUUGAGCCUCUAAUUGCUUAUUUGCAUCCUUCUUAUAUGCUAUUUNNNNNNNNNNNNNNNNNNNNNNNNNNNNNNNNNNNNNNNNNNNNNNNNNNNNNNNNNNNNNNNNNNNNNNNNNNNNNNNNNNNNNNNNNNNNNNNNNNNNNNNNNNNNNNNNNNNNNNNNNNNNNNNNNNNNNNNNNNNNNNNNNNNNNNNNNNNNNNNNNNUAUAUAUAUAUAUAUAUAUAUCCUAUCUCUCUCCCCCUUCUUUAGGGUUAGAAGUCCUAAUGCCCCAGGACUAACAGCUGGGGACGGGUAUUAGCAUGCAGUAAGUAACGAUACACACACGUUUUAAUACCUUAACAGGGUGGGAGGGUAGAAUAUGGAGAUGAUGAAAAUGUGAUAAUAUCAUAAAGCGACCCCUUUUUGGGAAUAUAUGCAGGAUAUUGCAUCGGAUGAUCUAUAUUAUAGUUAAACCUAGGACCCUUCAUUCUUUUAUGUGCUUUAUUUAAAUGCUUUCUUAAUGCUUUUCAAGCUAAUCCUCUCUUAUUUCGAACUUAUGUCCUUCCCCUUUCUUUAAAGCUUGCAAGUUAUAUUGAAUGUUAUACAUGUGCAUCAUAUGUUUAAUUGCUUCAUCUCUUUGUAAAGUCACAAUUAGCACGGCCGGGAACCACAUUUGUGGAUCUUGAGGGGUGCCUAACACCUUCCCCUCAAGAUAAUUUCAAGCCCUUACCCAACUCUGGUUUUUCCCUAAAAAACACCCUCUUCAUCUUAAAGUGUCUUAAAGCACUAUAAUCAUUAGGUGGCGACUCUUCCAAUUCCGUAACCCAAUUCCCAAACGGGAAAUAGAGUUGUUUUGCCCAUAAUGUAGUAAACCCGAUUUCGCUUUCGAAAAAGGGGGCGUCGACAGCAUGGCGACUCUGCUGGGGAAUAUUUUUAGGCUUUUACCACUACGUGUUUGUGACUUUACUACUUUCUUUAUUUAUUGCUUCAAUUUCUUUUUUAUUAUUUUUCACAAUUACUGACUUGUUUCUUCAUGUCUUUGUUUUCCUUUAACUGUUCUAUUGCUUUGUUACCUCACUUUCUUUCAAUCCCGUCUUUUAUAUCGAGCAUUUAUUGUAAUCAUUAUGAACGCGUAAGUACAUGUAAUUAUUUCCUUAUUGUAAUUGCAUCCUUCAACAUCAUUUUCCACUUGCGCCAAACAAAUCAUAUAGCAAUGCUUAUAAUGAGUGGUUGCGCUCUUCCAUAUUAUAAAACCUCUAAAUUUGGCAAAGGCAUAUUUGCGGUAAAACAAGUUGAUCAACGGUGUAGUCGACGAUUCCGCGCCUUUCCCUCUUGAGUUGUCCGCUCAAGGGUACCUUGUCUAGAACUUCAAAAGUAGAAACCUUAUUCCCUUUGAUCAACGGUGUAGUCGACGAUUCCGCGCCUUUCCCUCUUGAGUUGUCCGCUCAAGGGUACCUUGUCUACCACUUUAAAAGUUGAAACCUUACUCUCUUUAAUUGUUCAUGCAUCAUGGGCAAGAUUAGACGAGUCAGUUAUGUUGUCCGCAUAAUGACCCAUUAGGAUAGCCUAAACUAAAAGUCCAUCGAGUUCCUCGAAACCCAAACAGAUAUUCACGUUAUGUGCAUUGAUUUGGAAAACUAAAUGCCUUUGCUAAUUAUUGAUUUAAAUAGCCGAGUUCGAUGGGGGUUAAGGGCCUAACUCUUUGUCUUGAAGGAAAGUGAGGCCCGAGGUCCCCAGAUUCGGUAUGGUAUCAAAUAUUCAUCCAAAGUUGCUAAGCUGGUAUGAUGAUUUGCAUGGUAGUGAUCAGGUUCUUGUCCGCAAGCACUUAGGAAAUCUUCCUUCACUUUUGGAAGUUAAGACAGAUAACAAGAUUGUGGAAUCUGCUACUAUGUUUUGGGAUAGUGAAAGGUUCGUCUUCCGCUUUGGGGGUAUCGAAAUGACGGCGCUGUUGGAGGAAAUCGGGGGUUUGGCCGGAAUUCCUUGGGAUAGCCCGGGGCUGAUCAUGCCAGAAAAUCGCAAAGGUAGAGGGUUCUUGAAUAUGAUGGGGCUCAAAAAGAAUCCUAAUCUAACCAGUUUGAAGGACUCCUACAUAUCCUUCGACUUCAUGUAUGAAAGGUUCGGACAUAGCAAAUCAUACCGCAAUCACAUGGACGUAACCAGUUUGAAGGACUCCUACAUAUCCUUCGACUUCAUGUAUGAAAGGUUCGGACAUAGUAGAUCAUACCGCAAUCAAAUGGACGAAUUUGCCCUCACCUCUUUGGGGCACAUACAUAUGAGAGCCUUUGUAUUCAUGUUCUGUUUCCUGGGCAUGAUGGUUUUUCCGAUGAAGAAGGCUAGAAUCCAUACAUGGAUAGCCAUGGUAACUAAAGCCAUAAUGGAGGGUAUUGACGGGCAGACAUUCAGCAUAGCACCCAUGAUCCUCGCGGAACUGUACCGAGCCUUAGAGAAAUGUCAACAAAGGGCACCGCACUUCGAAGGGUGCAAUUUGCUACUACAACUCUGGCUCAUUGAACAUAUUCAAAAGGGAGAGUAUAGACAAGAAAUCAUACGCCCAGAUUGGGAUGAUCAUAUUGCUUUCCAUCAUCCAAAGCGAAUGCACUUCAUGCCAGAUAUGUUCUCUCACCCAGAGGAUGCCAGUGGAUGGGUAGAACUAUUAGAGAAUCUGAAGGAAGAGCAAGUACAAUGGAUGUACGAGUGGUUUCCGACUGGAGAGUUCAUAAUUCGGUCUAGGGAUGCGCCAUUCCUUGUACUCAUCGGUUUGAGAGGAACUUACCCUUAUGUCCCUCUCAGAGUCAUGACGCAAGCUGGAAGAAAGCAGAUUAUACCAAGGAUGGAAAAAAUGAGUCACUACAGAGCUGAUUUCCAGGAUGACGAUAGUCCACACAAGUGUCGGGCUCAGCAUAUGUGGCACUCCAAAAUUAUUCUAGAAAAAGAAUCUAUGGAGCCAGACAGGUAUCAGGAGGGGCAUGCGCCGCUUUAUCUGGGGUGGUUAGAAGAUGAUUACAUUGGCUUGGGAAAAACGAGUUUUGUCCAUGGUCACAGGGUUAUUGAUGAAGAGACUGCAGCAAUGGUCCAGUAUAAUCAAUUGCGCAAGCGGAUGCGAGAGUGUGAAAGUGAACAUCGGGAAAUGCUAGAGGCACAAGAGAGGGUAAUCAAUGAAUGGAAAGGACAAGCAACGAUUUGGUGUACUUGGAGUAGGGGUUAGUGGAGCUGGAAGGCAAGUUUUUGAAAAAGAAAACGAAUGGAAGGACAUGACUGUCCGUACAAGAAACCGUUUGGUGUACUUGGAACAAGGUAUAGUGGAGCUGGAAGGCAAGUUUCUGAAAAGGAUCAAAGACUAUCAGGAAGCUGAAGAUAAUGAAGGUGGGCACUUGGCUCGGGCUUACUUAUUGCUAGGACUGCGCAAGCUGAUGAAACUGUACGAGGGAGGCAAAGAUACCGAAUCUGGGGAAGGUCCUUCUGGNNNNNNNNNNNNNNNNNNNNNNNNNNNNNNNNNNNNNNNNNNNNNNNNNNNNNNNNNNNNNNNNNNNNNNNNNNNNNNNNNNNNNNNNNNNNNNNNNNNNNNNNNNNNNNNNNNNNNNNNNNNNNNNNNNUGACAAUUCUUCUUUAUUUUAAUUUGUUUGACUCGUUCUAUUUUCUAUCAGUAAAAUGAGGCAUUUGGUAUUAUGAGUUCUCCAAAUCAUAUUUUUUUCUAGGCCUACCUCGGGCGCAACGAGGCACCCAACUAGGAAACGACUUAUAUUUUUGCAACAACGUGUUUAAAUACCGCAAUGUUUUCUUUCUCAGAAUCCGCACUAACUUUUACCCUUUUGUUUUCGUUUUGUUUUUAUCCCCCUCCCCAAAGGUUAGUUCCUGCAUUCAGGCACCAUCAGCACAUUCAACAAGAUCUAAGGGUCCUCCUCCUCCUCCUUCCAGAAAUAGGAACAAAGGAAAUACAGCAAAUAAUGAAGCAAGAAAGGAAAUUGAAGGAACUUCUAAGGGUAUCCCAAUCACCAAAGAAACCGCUGCUCACUUGGAGCAAACUUUGCUAAGUUUUCGAGAGGAACUGGACCAGGUCCGGAGUUUGGCAAGCUAUUCCAUUUCCCUUGCUGCUGCAGAUGUCAACAACCAGGUCCCCGCACCUCCGCAGAAGAUUCCAACCCAGGUUCGCAACAAUGCUCCACCGCUCAUCCCUGAGCCUCAAAAUGNNNNNNNNNNNNNNNNNNNNNNNNNNNNNNNNNNNNNNNNNNNNNNGGUUCGCAACAAUUCUCCACCGCUCAUCCCUGAGCCUCAAAAUCCUCCAAACCACCAGGAUACCCCUAUCCUUGUGGAUACUGUGCCAUACUAUACACAGCCCAUACCAGAUGUGCCAGAAUCAGAUUCACUCAUUCAAAACUUGGCUGCUGAACUUAGGAAACUCACUAGUCGGGUUCAAGGCGUGGAAGGUAAUAAAGGCGUGGAAGGUCUGAAUUAUGAAGAUUUAUGUGUUCAAUCCGAUAUCGAACUCCCAGAGGGAUACAAACCCCCUAAGUUCGAGAUGUUUGAUGGUACGGGCGAUCCCAAGGUUCACCUCAUGAUGUAUUGUGACAAGCUAGUGGGAGUUGGUAGAGAUGAGAAGAUCCGCAUGAAACUGUUUAUGAGGAGUUUGAAAGGUGAUGCUUUAUCUUGGUACAUUAGCCAAGAUGCGAAGAAGUGGACGAGUAGGGUAAACAUGGCGUCCAAUUUCAUGGACAGUUUCAGGUUCAACACUGAGAAUGCGCCAGACGUGUUCUACAUUCAGAAUUUGAAGAAGAAGCCCACUGAAUCCUUUCGAGAAUAUGGAUUUCAUGUAUCGUUUCAGGUUCAACACUGAGAAUUCGCCAGAUAUGUUCUACAUUCAGAAUUUGAAGAAGAAGCCUACUGAAACCUUUCACGAGUAUGCUACUCCUUGGAGGUCGGAAGCUGCCAAAGUCAGGCCGGCUUUGGAGGAAGAACAAAUGAAUAGAUUUUUUGUUCGUCUCAGGACCCGCAGUACUACGAGAGAUUGAUGCUAAUAGAAUGGCAGAAGUUUGCUGACAUCAUCAAACUGGGAGAAAGAACUGAAGAGGGAAUAAAAUAUGGUAUGGUUUCCAACCUUGAGGCAUUGUAGGACACCAACAAGCCUUGCAAUCUAGUGGUUCAUCGAAGAAAAAGGAUGUAAACUUCAUAAUGGCUGCGCAAAGAAACCACUCUCCCAUAAAAUACCAAGCCUACCCUACAACUCCACUCACCUACCAACCCUCUCUAAAUGACCAAGCACCUUCGCCUACUUACCAAAAUCCACCACCCAUCUACCAAUCAUCUCCCCCACCAACAUAUCAACCCACCUCUCCAGGAUAUUCCCAACCUGCACCCAUAUACCAAGCUUACAACUCCCAACCUCCUCACUAUCCAUCACCACCUACCCGCCAAAACUUCCCACGACCGAGACUAAAUUUUGACCGCAAACCGCCCAGACAGUACACUGCUAUUACUGAACCCAUUGACCAACUUUAUGAGAAUUUCAAAGCCGCUGUAUAUGUUACAACCAUCCCAGCCACAACCCUAGAAAACCCCUCCCAAUGGAUCAACCCAAAUAAAACCUGUGCAUACCAUUCGGGGAUGAAAGGCCAUACCAUUGACUAGUGACGCUCGUUGAAGGACAAAAUUCAGACCAUAUUUCACAACAAGGUAUUCAUGGCUAAGGAGCCUGCUCCUACUGUUCGUAACAACCCUCUACCAGAUCGUAAAGGUGGAGGCAUCCACAUAAUUGAGGAUGAGGAUGAUUAGGACCCCAAAGGGUCAAUUGGUUUGAUAUUGACCGACAACAAGUCCAUCGUGGCUAAAGGGCAUGCUCCUAAUGUUCAUAACAACCCUCUACCAGACCCUAAAGGUGGAGGCGUCCACAUAAUUUAGAUCGAAGAUGACUGGGACCCCGAAGGGUCGAUUGGUCAGAUAUCGGAGGGAGAUGAGCCCAAGAAACCAACGGUCACUCUUAAUCCCAUUGCUGUUCAAAUUCAGCCAUCUGAGGACAACGUGGUGAAUAUAUCUAUACCACUUGAGUUUGAGGCACUUCAUACAAAGGCGCAAAAACCUAUUGAGGUGGAAUUCAGGACUCCAAAGGCGCCCGCACCGAUUGAAGUUACUAUGUUUCCUCCAAGGGUGCCCAUUACGGUCACCAUGUGACACAUAGCCCUAUUUCAGUCAAAAGCCAUACCCUAGGACUACACUGCCGAGGCGAGAAGAAAAGGAAAAGCACACAGGCGAAGAAAUUGCCGUGCAAGGUAUGACUAGAACAGGCAGGGUGUACACACCAGAGCACCUAGCUGAGCCCGGCAAGCAGGCCUCUGGACGCCCCAUUGAAACUGGACCUGACAAUCUCUGAAGGAAAAUACAGGCUAAGGAAUAUUCAGUUGUUGAACAGCUAAAUAAGACUCCGGUGCAGAUUUCCAUCUUAGCAUUGCUGCAGAGCUUUGAGGCAUAUAAGAAUGCCUUGAUGAAGAUAUUGAGCGAGGCUUAUGUCCCGAGCAACAUAACAGGAGGAGNNNNNUUUUCAACAGCUAAAAAAGACUCCGGCGCAGAUUUUUAUCUUAGCAUUGCUGCAGAGUUCCGAGGCGCACAAAAACGCCUUGAUGAAGAUAUUGAGUGAGGCUUAUGUCCCGAGCAACAUAAUAGGAGGAGAAAUGGAAAAUACGAUAGGGUAGGUAUAGGAAAGUCACAAAAUCCUUUCCACGAGGAUGAAUUGCCACCUUAAGGGCUUAGUCAUAACAAAGCACUGCACAUCACUGUGCAAUGUGAGGAUCAUUUCAUCACCAGAAUCUUAGUCGACAGAGGUUCCAGCCUCAACAUCUGUCCAUUGAUCACCCUCAAAGUUAGGCAAUGAUUGCACGAGAUAAAAUAUGGGUCCGUUAACGUUAAGGCUUUGACGGUUCUCAGAGGUCCACUCUCGGGAGAUUAGCCUGUGUUUGCAAAUGGGCCCCAUUUUGUUUGAUGUUGAUUUCCAAUUCAUCGAUGUACCAGCAUCUUACAACUUACUGCUGGGACGACCCUGGAUCCACGCCCCCGGGGCUUUGACAUCAACCUUACAUCAGGCUGUGAAAGUUCAAAUGGAACCAUCAGGAAGUAAUCAUCCAUGGCGACGGUAGCAAUCCCAUAUACAGUCUCCAGACCUUUCCAAUGAUCGGAGGCAGAAGAAGAAUAUGCGGAGAAACAUAUCACCAUAUUGAGCGGGUCAACACAGUGGACAAGGAAAAAUGGUGGAGUAACAAGGUUGAGAGCAUUCUAAAUUGGAGUGGGUAUGAACCAGGGAAAAGACUUGGUAAGAAUUUUCAAGGUAUCACCAAACUAUCUAGUUGAAGAAACACGGUACUACCUUCGGACUGGGGUACGAAUACACUUGGCAGUAAUUCAAAAACUGGUCACCACCAUGGCGCGACCUAUAUUACCCAUUGGAACCUAUACCUCAGUUGGAGUAGACAUUUCAGCCAGCCGACAUUCUCUAUGGGUCAGAAGAAGACGAGGCUCUUACAGCAAUGAAGAACCUGUUUCUAGAGGACGUGGACUAUUGUGUGAUGUUUGGAGAGGAAGGGGAGGAAGGACCUUCCAUUCAGGCUGUGAAGCGAGAGGAGCGCCUCACCAACUGGUCAAUCAGGACCACCAUUGCUCGCAAACCUUCGGGGUAUCAAGGCUGAACAAGCAUCAUGCAUCUUUGUUGUAGUUGUGUUUAUUUUCCGCAUUUGCCUUUAUUUUCCAAAAGAGCUCCGAUGUUUUGAAAAUUUAUAAAUUUAAUCAAAAGCAUUUUCAAUUUACCAAAUAUCUCGUUAUUUAUUACUUUCUCUGCUAUUUAUUUUAUUUUCACGCAACAUUACAAUUACGUAUCUUGAUGAUGAACCAACAACUGUAACUUGCAACGAGGCUAUGCAACAAUCGAACAUAGACUCAAAGGAAGAUGAUGUGCCAGAAGACGUUGUCAGAGAGGCCUAGAAUUUUGAAAAUAGACUUAAGUCCAACUUGGAUGAAACCGAAGCUGUCAAUUUGGAAGAUACAAAGAAUGUCAAAGAGACGCGCAUCAGCGUGCAUUUAUCACAAACGGAAAAAGAGAAAUAUAUGGAGUUCCUAAAAGAAUACGAGGAUAUCUUUGCCUGGUCCUACGACGAUAUGACCGGUCUCAGCACGUCCAUCAUCGCUCACAAGUUGCCGACAGAUCCUGCAUGUCCACCGGUAAAGCAGAAGCUCAGAAAAUUCAGAUAUCUUUGCAUGGUCUUAUGACGAUAUGACCGGUCUCAGCACGUACAUCGUCGCUCACAAAUUGCCGACAGAUCCUGCAUAUCCAUCGGUAAAGCAGAAGCUCAGAAAAUUCAAGCCAGAUAUGAGUCUAAAAAUCAAAGAGGAGAUUACCAAGCAGGUCAAAGCCAAAGUUCUUCAAGUGGUAGAGUAUCCAACUUGGUUAGCUAACAUUGCUAGUACCGAAGAUGGAUGGGAAAAUUAGAGUCUUUGUCGACUACCGGUCAUGCUAGACUCGAGCGCAUAGGUAACCGUCACCAUACCUAUACACCGACUCCACAUAGCAAGUAAUUAUCACAAUUGUUCACUUCUUUCGAUAUUUUAAUAGCAAUUAUGACUCAUAGUCAUGCUAGACUCGGGCGCAUAGGUAACCAUCACCAUACAUAUACACCGACUCCACAUAGCACAUAACAAAUAUUAUCCUAAUCCUAUUCCCGCAAGCCAAAGUUAGAUCAAACACUUACUUCGAAAGCUUCCAAACUCAACUCACACCUCUAGAAUAGCUUUAAUCCUCGAAUUCACCUCAAGACCGGUCGAAUCUAACCAUAAUAUACUCAAAUGUAUCAACAAAUGCUAGUUAAAUCAAUUUGAAUGCCUAAGAAUGAAAUUCCGAAAGUGUUACCUAAAAAUUCCCAAAAUACCCCCGGGCCCACAUGGUCAAACGAGUUACCCAUUCCACCGCGAGUUCAUAUAUGCAAGUUGUUUUGAAAUCAGACCCCAAAUUGAGGUCCAAAUCCCCAAUUUUAUGAAAAACUAGGUUCUACCCCAAAUUCCCAUUUUUGCCCAUUGAAUUCUUUAUUUUAAGUUGAAAUCAUGAUAAAAGAUGUUAAAGUUUGAAGAAAUUGAGUAAAAGUUGACUUACAAGUGGUUCGGGAAAGAAAGAGUCGAGAGAAAAUUGCCAAUGGAGGUUUGGAUUUUGAAAAUAUGAAAUAUGAAGUUUAAAAUCGGUUAAGUAUAAGUUGACCAUGUGCAAAUGUCACAAUUUUGAGAUUGACUUCGCAAUUGCGAACUGAGUAGAAAAAGGGCGGAAAUUGCAUUUACGAGAUUGGCUUCGCAUUUGCGAAGCCUGGAUGCAGGGGGGAUCGCAUUUGCGAGAAGUAGUUCGCAUUUGUGAAGUCUGGCUAAACUGAAGGGGGAUCGCAAUUGCGAGAUUUUCCUCGCAAUUGUGAAGAAACUGUCUAAAGGGGGAACUCGCAAACAUGUACCUCACCUCAAAAACAUCCUACGGACUUACUCGUGCGAUCAAAUCGCCAAAAUAACAUCAAAAUCAAAGAAUCAUCCUCCAAAACUCAUGAUUUUCAUUUCAAAGUUCAAAACUUUCGAACUUUCCACUUUUAGUCCGAAACACGUCAAACGACGUCCGUUUUCAAUCAUACUUUACAGAUAGCGCUUAACGCUCGUUUAAGACUUGUACCGGGCGUCGGAACCAAAAUACGAGCCCGAUACCAUCACGUUUGAUCAAAUUUUCAUUUUUAUUUUUCCUUAAGCGUUUUCAAAAACAAUUUCACAGAAAAACUCCGUACACGGGCCUGAGACCUCGGAUUUUGAUUUUGGGAAUACGCCUGGGUCCCAAAUUUCCUUACAGACCCUCCGGGACCGUCAUAUCACGGUCCGAGUCCGUUUACGCAAAACAUUGACGAAAGUCAACUAUAGCAAUAUUAUUAUCAAAAUUCAUAGUUUUUAACACAUAAUUCAAAUAUUUGUUUACACAAAAUAUUAACCAAAGUCAACUAUAGCAAUAUUAUUAUCAAAAUUCAUAGUUUUCAACACAUAAUUCAAAUAUUUCCACAUAAAAAUUUCCGGAUUCACGCUUGAAGUGUGCACACAAAUCAAGGCAACCAAUUAAGAGGUCUUCAAUGUCUCAGAAGCGCAAAGAAAGGGAGAAUUACGCUGAUGACCCUUUGGUUCGUCACACUUGACUAUUCAUGUUUAUGAAAAAUGUUUCGUAAUGGAAAAACAAUAACUACGACAAUGGGAUGACAAUGAAAAUAAGGUCUUAAUUUUCUAGAUGCCAUGAUCAAAUAUAGUGCCAACUUUUCUAAUUGUGGAUAUCGUGUUUUGGCAUCUAAUAAAGAUUUGCUUACAUAUUAAAUAGAAGAUUGCUUACCUUCGUCCUCUCGUACUAAAACAGCACUUAACGCGACUUCUGAUACUGCCAAGUAGAUGAGCAGUGUUUCACCUUCCUUUGGUGUUGCCAACAACAGGGGAUUUGACAAGUAAUAUUUCAAGUUCCCAAGGGCUUGUUGACAAUCUUCGUUCCAUUCAAAAUGGUCUUGCUUUUUGAGAGCAGAGAAUAACUUAAAACAUUUUUUUGAAGAUUUAGAAAUAAAUCUUCCCAGGGCUACGAUUCUUCCCGUUAAUCUUUGAACCUCCUUCUUAUUGGUAAUGAUAUCAGGGAUUUCUUCUAUCUCUUUGAUCUGAGAAGUAUUUACCUCAAUGCCACGGUUAGAAAAAAGAAAACCCAAAAAUUUACCUGAGGCAACUCCGAAUUCACACUUUUCUGGGUUGAGUUUCAUGUUAAAUUUCCGUAAAAUUUCAAAUGUAAUAGAUAAAUGAAAAAUAUGAUCGUGAGAAUGCUGGGUUUUGACGAGCAUAUCGUCUAUAUAUUCCUCCAUAGUUUUUCCAAAAUGUUGUUGAAUUAUUUUGGUGACCAGCCUUUGAUAGGUUGCUCCAGCAUUUUUGAGACCAAAGGGCAUUAUUUUAUAACAGUAAGUCCCCCUAUCUAUGAUGAAAGAAGUUUUUUCCUCAUCACGGGGAUCCGUUUUAAUUUGAUUAUAUCCCGAAUAUGCAUAUGAAAAUCUUAAAAGUUCAUGACAUGCAGUUGCGUCAAUUAACUAAUCUAUAUGCGGUAAAGGCAAAGAGUCUUUCGGGGAAGUUUUGUUUAGAUCAGUAUAAUCCACACAAACGCUCCACUUACUGUUUUUCUUAGGUACGACCACCAUGUUAGCUAACCAAUUAGGAUACUUUACCUCGCGGAUCGACCCAAUCUUUAAUAAUUUUUGGACCUAAGCUUGAAUCACCUGGUUCUUGAAAGCACCUUGCUCUCUUUUCUUUUGCUUUAUUGGUGUGAAAGAUGGGUCCUCGUUGAGUUUGUGAGUCAUCACAUCCGGAGGUAUCUCUGUCAUAUCAGCAUGGGACCAAGCAAAACAGUCUAUGUUAGCUUUUAAAAACUCAAUUACCCGGUGGUAUUCCUUUCAUAUCAGCAUGGGACCAAGCAAAAUAAUCCAUGUUAGCUUUUAAAAACUCAAUUAACAUACCUCACAUGUCGGGAUUUAGAUUGGCUCCUACAUAAACCUUUCGUUCAGGCCAUCGCUCAAAUAGGCCUCGAGCUCCUCUAUUGUUGUUUUAAUGUUCUCAUUUUCUUCAUGUUCUUGAAUCACAUCAGGUCUCGAAUCUAAGCCUCUUUUUUCUUGUCCAUUUGAAGUUUGAUUGUUGACAUCCUCAACUGUUUCCUGUAAUUGCUAUUUCUCUUUACUCACGACGUUCGUAUCUAUUACGAUGUUGAUACUCCUGGCUGUUUGCUAAUCCCCUCGAAUUUGAAAAAUUUCCCACGGUGACGGAAACUUAAUAACUUGAUGCAGAGUUGAUGGAACAACAUCCAUAUCAUGGAUCCACGAUCUUUCCAUGAUUAUAUUGUAGGCUAUUUCCAUAUCAACUACCUUGAAUUUAGUUUCUUUUUCAACACCUGCAGCAAAAGUUGUUAGAAUUACCUCUCAUUUUGUUAACACGCUCGAAUUGUCGAAGCCUGACAAGGUAUGCGCCUUGGGUAUUAUUUUAUCUUCAGCUUGCAUUUCCUGUAAUACCCUUAGUAGGA